ensembl:snRNA
GUGUUGUAUGAAAGGAGAAAAAGUUAGCAAUCCUCACGCCAGGGAUGAAGAGGUCCUCAGGCCUGCACAAAACACACAUGCUUAAGGCAUUGCCACCUACUUCAUGGCAUCUGACCAUGGGGUUUU